ACGGGUGAGUAACACGUAGCUAAUCUACCUCAAAGCGCGGGAUAACGUGUCGAAAGACAGGCUAAUACCGCAUAAGCUCGCGAUCUGUAGAGGGUUGCGAGAAAAGGCGCAAGUCACUUUGAGAUGAGGCUGCGGCCCAUCAGCUAGUUGGGGUGGUAAAAGCACACCAAGGCGACGACGGGUAGGGGACCUGAGAGGGUGACCCCCCACACUGGGACUGAGACACGGCCCAGACUCCUACGGGAGGCAGCAGUGAGGAAUAUUGCACAAUGGGCGCAAGCCUGAUGCAGCGACGCCGCGUGGGUGAAGAAGGUUUUCGGAUCGUAAAACCCUUUUCUGUGUGACGAGCAAGGACGGUAGCACAGGAAUAAGUCUCGGCUAACUACGUGCCAGCAGCCGCGGUAAAACGUAGGAGACAAACGUUAUCCGGAGUUACUGGGCGUAAAGGGCGUGUAGGUGGUUUCGUAAGUCUGGCGUGAAAUUUUUCGGCUUAACCGGGAAAGGUCGUCGGAUACUGCGGGACUAGAGGACGGUAGAGGCGUGUGGAAUUCCGGGUGUAGUGGUGAAAUGCGUAGA
rnacentral:rRNA from 1 species